rnacentral:rRNA from 1 species
UACAGAGGGGGCAAGCGUUGUUCGGAAUUACUGGGCGUAAAGGGCGCGUAGGCGGCCCGCUAAGUCGAACGUGAAAUCCCCGGGCUUAACCCGGGAACUGCGUCCGAUACUGGUGGGCUUGAAUCCGGGAGAGGGGUGCGGAAUUCCAGGUGUAGCGGUGAAAUGCGUAGAUAUCUGGAGGAACACCGGUGGCGAAGGCGGCAUCCUGGACCGGUAUUGACGCUGAGGCGCGAAAGCCAGGGGAGCAAACGGG